UACGUAGGGGGCUAGCGUUGUCCGGAAUCAUUGGGCGUAAAGCGCGUGUAGGCGGUCCGGUAAGUCCGCUGUGAAAGUCGGGGGGCUCAACCCUCGGAUGCCGGUGGAUACUGUCGGGCUUGAGUACGGAAGAGGCGAGUGGAAUUCCUGGUGUAGCGGUGAAAUGCGCAGAUAUCAAGGAGGAACACCAAUUGCGAAGGCAGCUCGCUGGGACGUUACUGACGCUGAGACGCGAAAGCGUGGGGAGCAAACAGG
rnacentral:rRNA from 1 species